GUAAAAGCGGCGGUGGUCACCUUAGGAUUUUAGAGCCGCUGCAAGUCCGCAGAUGGACAUCAGCCGCAGUCAAAUCUGCGGAGGUUUGCAUUGCAAUCUGUUGCUCAGGCCUGCAGUUUCCUCAACUCGUUUUCUUUCUUUUUUUCUUUUUUUUUAAUCUGCUCUGAAGCACCUCGUGUUGUACUGCAGCUGUUCCCCUUGUGUCUACCUACAUCAGGUCGAAGGAGCACCCAGUCGCCUGGAGGAUAAGGUUCCACACAAGGACAAACCUGUGAGGUGGCACUGUGGCUUUCCAAAUAAAGUUCUGUGAUACACUCCGACUCUACUCGCAUGCAGUCAGUGCAUUACAGAACUUUGUUUUGGGAGUUAAUGCUUUAACUCGUGCUAAAUAAAUCAUCAAACAUCUGGAGAGUUCAGUUCCCAGCGUGAAGCAGUAUUUUUUUUAAUAUGAGUUUUCCUAAAUAAAGUUUUUUUUCUUUACUUUUUUUUCUUGUCUCUUCUUUUCUGUAAAAUAAAUGUGGGAAUGUGUUAGGGUUAACUUUUUUAGUUUUAUCAUUUAGUCACUGUAAAUGUGUGUUAAAAUGCUACUGGAGCUGGGCUUUGUGCCAUAUGGAAACACUGGUCAUGCUGAUCAGGUGACCGAGAGGAGCUGAGGGAGAAAAGUAAACACUAUGGUCACACUGUAUAAAAACUUACAUGUGUAUUAUUUUACAAUGUAAAGCAUUAAACAUGUCAGAUAAAUUUAUUUUUAAUGUUUUUUUAUUAUUUCUAUUGCAUUAAACUCAAAACUCCAGGUUAA